ensembl:lncRNA
AUGACCAUUAAUUUUUUUGUUUGUUUGUUUGUUUUUGGCAAGAUUAUGGUUAGCCAUGCUCGGGAAAAUAUUUUCAGCGCUAAAGAAAUACACCUGAAUGUUUAUACACAUAUACAUACACUUCAACAUUUGCACAAAAUGUGUGUGUAUAGACAUACGUACAUACAUCUAUCUGUCUGUCUAUGUAUCAUAAGGCUGAUGCCAAAAGCCACAAACAACUCAAUCCAUUUAAUGGCUGUGAGGCCAAGAUGAGUCGAUUGGCUGUCCGUUUAUUCAUCUAUAAAAUCAAAAGUUGAAAGUAGAUGAACUCCCAAUUUUCAACCUAUAAGAUUUUUAGUGUAUCCUUUCUUUUUAUCUUCAAAUGCAGUCAUAUAUAAUAAUAUAAUAUAGUUAUAUAAUACUAACCACCUCACUAAGGCAGCCUUUCCUUACCCUCUAACCAGAUCACACCUCUGUUACACAUUCUCAUUGCACCGUGUACCCAUCCCUCUGUAUGACCAGGGCAUGUCCACUGCUUUGUAAGCUCGGUGAGAUCUUUUCUGCCCAUUACCCGCACAGUGCCUGUAGGGGACUAGUGCCUAGUAAGGACUUCAUCCACAUUGACUUUGAGACUGUUUUAUACCUGGGCCUAUUUCUGUGAAUUUCCAACUGAAGCCGGCUGGAAUCUCUUUCUUCUCAAAGUUUAUUUCUGCAAGCAAGGUACUUUGUAACAAGCACAUUAUUUUGUUGAUAAUGUGUUGGCCCCAUUCUUAGGAUAUUAGGUAAAAUCUGGGAAAGUAAACAAAAUUUCAGCAAUUAUUUAAUGUAAUUCUUGGAAAAUAAUCAAGACCAGAAGUCAGUGUAUGCUGAGCUGAACAGAUUGGCUUCUUUAAAAAGGACCAUCUGUAUUGUUUCAUUCCGUUAAUACCUAAAAAUUAUGGGAAGCACUUAGGCAGAAAAGAGCUGAGUGCGUCCAAGAUGCUUCACUUCCAGUGCAGUCUUAGUCAAUCUUUUAGAAUCUCCAAGCCCUUGUUUUCGAAUUGAACACUAUAUACCCCAAAGGCAUAGUACGAAGAUUAAAUUAGAUAUGUUGCAUAUCUCAAAACAGCAUCUUGUACCCAACCUCUAUUUUUUGCCUCUUUUCACAUAUUUGCUACAACUAUUUGACAGAGGAAUUAAGGAAGGAAAUUUCAAGUCAUUGCUAAAACUAGAAAUUAUCUCUACUUAUGUGCAUUUCAUCAGAAGUAAAUCCUGAAGACAUUCUACAUGGAAGCGUAGUAUUUCUCCCAGAAACACCCACAGACCAGUGCACAUUCUAGGAAUAUGGGGGAGAUUGUAUUUCUCACCCGAGUCCAGGCUAAUGGAAACCCAAGUGGCAGUGUUAAUCAUCUGUAUUGGAGGUUCAUGGAGUUAUGAUGAUGACGGUCACUUUUCAAAAGCUCAGCAGAAAUGGCAUUUAGGGGAGAUUGCUGAAUUUUUACUUUUGUGUGAAAAAGGGCUUUGAUUUUUUGAACGUAACAAGUUAUUGAUCAUUGCAGUAUGAUUAAUUACAUUUUUAAAGACAUGAAUCUGUAAGAAAAUCAAUACAAGGGAUUUAGAAUAUGGCGACUUUGAGAAGCAGUUGCUAGUAUAUUUUAUUCAGACAUAAAUCCAAAACACAGUGGAGUUUAUUUCAAAUCGUAUGUUUGAUCUAAUGAAAUAUUUUCUUAUAAUGCUUUAUCUUUGGUACUGAAUGCUGUGAAAGGAAUCUCUCUUCUUCUAUUGUUAUGAGAGCUUAUAAAUAAAUCCCAUUAGUGCUAAUCUCUAAAUUAAAGA